AAGGGCGCGUAGGCGGAUUAUCAAGUCUCUUGUGAAAUCUAAUGGCUUAACCAUUAAACUGCUUGGGAAACUGAUAGUCUAGAGUGAGGGAGAGGCAGAUGGAAUUGGUGGUGUAGGGGUAAAAUCCGUAGAUAUCACCAAGAAUACCCAUUGCGAAGGCGAUCUGCUGGAACUCAACUGACGCUAAGGCGCGAAAGCGUGGGGAGCAAACAGGAUUAGAUACCCUGGUAGUCCACGCCCUAAACGAUGUACACUAGUUGUUGGGAUGCUAGUCAUCUCAGUAAUGCAGCUAACGCAUUAAGUGUACCGCCUGGGGAGUACGGUCGCAAGAUUAAAACUCAAAGGAAUAGACGGGGACCCGCACAAGCGGUGGAGCAUGUGGUUUAAUUCGAAGAUACGCGAAGAACCUUACCUGGGCUUGAUAUCCUAAGAACCUUAUAGAGAUAUGAGGGUGCUAGCUUGCUAGAACUUAGAGACAGGUGCUGCACGGCUGUCGUCAGCUCGUGUCGUGAGAUGUUGGGUUAAGUCCCGCAACGAGCGCAACCCACGUAUUUAGUUGCUAACGGUUCGGCCGAGCACUCUAAAUAGACUGCCUUCGUAAGGAGGAGGAAGGUGUGGACGACGUCAAGUCAUCAUGGCCCUUAUGCCCAGGGCGACACACGUGCUACAAUGGCAUAUACAAUGAGACGCAAUACCGCGAGGUGGAGCAAAUCUAUAAAAUAUGUCCCAGUUCGGAUUGUUCUCUGCAACUCGAGAGCAUGAAGCCGGAAUCGCUAGUAAUCGUAGAUCAGCCAUGCUACGGUGAAUACGUUCCCGGGUCUUGU
rnacentral:rRNA from 1 species